rnacentral:rRNA from 1 species
GGAAUAUUGCGCAAUGGAGGAAACUCUGACGCAGCGACGCCGCGUGCGGGAUGAAGGCCUUCGGGUUGUAAACCGCUUUCAGUAGGGAAGAAGCGAAAGUGACGGUACCUACAAAAGAAGCACCGGCUAACUAUGUGCCAGCAGCCGCGGUAAUACAUAGGGUGCAAGCGUUGUCCGGAAUUAUUGGGCGUAAAGAGCUCGUAGGUCGUUUGUUACGUCGGAUGUGAAAAUCUGAGGCUCAACCUCAGACCUGCAUUCGAUACGGGCAAACUAGAGUUUGGUAGGGGAGACUGGAAUUCCUGGUGUAGCGGUGGAAUGCGCAGAUAUCAGGAGGAACAUCAACGGCGAAGGCAGGUCUCUGGGCCAAUACUGACACUGAGGAGCGAAAGCGCGGGGAGCGAACAGGAUUAGAUACCCUGGUAGUCCGCGCCGUAAACGGUGGGUACUAGUUGUGGGAACCUUCCACGGUUUCUGCGACGACGCUAACGCAUUAAGUACCCCGCCUGGGGAGUACGAUCGCAAGAUUGAAACUCAAAGGAAUUGACGG